AUACGUAGGGGGCGAGCGUUGUCCGGAAUGAUUGGGCGUAAAGGGCGCGUAGGCGGCCCGGUAAGUCUGGAGUGAAAGUCCUGUUUUUAAGAUGGGAAUUGCUUUGGAUACUGUCGGGCUUGAGUGCAGGAGAAGUAAGUGGAAUUCCCAGUGUAGCGGUUAAAUGCGUAGAGAUUGGGAGGAACACCAGUGGCGAAGGCGACUUACUGGACUGUAACUGACGCUGAGGCGCGAAAGUGUGGGGAGCAAACAGGAUUAGAUACCCUGGUAGUCCACACUGUAAACGAUGAAUGCUAGGUGUAGGGGGUAUCGACCCCUUCUGUGCCGCAGUCAACACAAUAAGCAUUCCGCCUGGGGAGUACGGCCGCAAGGUUGAAACUCAAAUGAAUGGGCGGGG
rnacentral:rRNA from 1 species